UACGGGGGGAGCAAGCGUUGUUCGGAUUUACUGGGCGUAAAGGGCGCGUAGGCGGUCGUGACAAGUCACUUGUGAAAUCUCCGGGCUUAACUCGGAACGGUCAAGUGAUACUGUCGGACUAGAGUACAGAAGGGGCAACUGGAAUUCUCGGUGUAGCGGUGAAAUGCGUAGAUAUCGAGAGGGACACCUGCGGCGAAGGCGGGUUGCUGGGCUGAUACUGACGCUGAGGCGCGAAAGCCAGGGGAGCAAACAGG
rnacentral:rRNA from 1 species